CAAAGUUGAACAGCAUCGAGGACCAAAAGAUCAAAAAGGUUGUGCCAAAAACGGCAAGGGUUUUCUGUUAAGUUACCAGAAAAUCCCUAUAAUUUAGAGUAAUUUAUACUUUUGCAAACAGUAAAUUUAAUAAAAUGAAUAUUCAAAAGAUGUACAUGAUAAAGCUGAAGUAUUAACUAAUUACAGGAAACAACAUUACUGAAAUACAUUUACAUAACCAGACAUUUGAAACACAAAAGUAGACACAUCCGAAUACGUUUAAACCUCUACGCCAAGUGACGUCC
rnacentral:lncRNA from 1 species